AGCCAGCAGCCGCGGUAAUACGGAGGGUGCGAGCGUUGUCCGGAAUCAUUGGGCGUAAAGGGCGCGUAGGUGGCCCGGUCAGUCUUUGGUGAAAGCGCGGGGCUCAACCCUGCGUCGGCCAGGGAUACUGCCGCGGCUCGAGCACUGUAGAGGCAGGCGGAAUUCCGGGUGUAGCGGUGGAAUGCGUAGAGAUCCGGAAGAACACCGGUGGCGAAGGCGGCCUGCUGGGCAGUUUAGCUGACACUGAGGCGCGACAGCGUGGGGAGCAAACAGGAUUAGAUACCCUGGUAGUCCACGCCGUAAACGAUGGGCACUAGGCGCUUGGGGGAGCGACCCCCCGAGGGCCGGCGCUAACGCAUUAAGUGCCCCGCCUGGGGAGUACGGCCGCAAGGCUGAAACUCAAAGGAAUUGACGGGGGCCCGCACAAGC
rnacentral:rRNA from 1 species